rnacentral:rRNA from 1 species
AGCACGAGUAGUGGUGACUUUUAUUGAGCCUAAAGCGUUGUAGCCGGUUUUGUAAAUCUUUAGAUAAAGCGUGAAGCUUAACUCCACCCAGUCUGAAGAGAUUGCAAGACUUGAGAUGGGGUGAGGUUAAACGUACUUUCAGGGUAGGGGUAAAAUCCUGUAAUCCCGGAAGGACGACCAGUGGCGAAAGCGUUUAACUAGAACGAAUCUGACGGUAAGGAACGAAGGCUAGGGUAGCAAACUGGAUUAGAUACCCGGGUAGUCCCAGCUGUAAACAUUGCCCAUAUUAUGUGGCUUUUCCGUUGAGGGAAGGCAGUG